AGAAGAAGCAGGGAUUAAAGUUCCUCUCUUGUCCAAUCGAUGGAUUCUUGUUGCUUAGUAGGACAACCCAAGGGGGGGCUGAAUUGUGUUGUAAAAUUUUUUUCAGAUUCAAAUAAAUAUGUGUUGUGCAGAAAUAAAAGUAAACUGAAAAUGCAGUGAUUAAAUGAGCUGAAACUAAAUGCCAAAAGGAAGAGAGAUCACAAAGACACA
rnacentral:lncRNA from 1 species